CCUACGGGAGGCUGCAGUGGGGGAUAUUGCACAAUGGGGGAAACCCUGAUGCAGCGACGCCGCGUGGGUGAAGAAGCGCCUCGGCGCGUAAAGCCCUGUCAGCAGGGAAGAAAAUGACGGUACCUGAAGAAGAAGCCCCGGCUAACUACGUGCCAGCAGCCGCGGUAAUACGUAGGGGGCAAGCGUUAUCCGGAUUUACUGGGUGUAAAGGGGGCGCAGACGGCGAUGCAAGCCAGGGGUGAAAGCCCGGGGCCCAACCCCGGGACUGCACUUGGGACUGCGGGGCUAGAGUGCAGGAGGGGGGGGCGGAAUUCCUGGUGGAGCGGUGAAAGGCGUAGAGAUCAGGAGGAAAACCGGUGGCGAAGGCGGCCUGCUGGAC
rnacentral:rRNA from 1 species